GACGAACGCUGGCGGCGUGCUUAACACAUGCAAGUCGAACGGAAAGGCCCUGCUUUUGUGGGGUGCUCGAGUGGCGAACGGGUGAGUAACACGUGAGUAACCUGCCCUUGACUUUGGGAUAACUUCAGGAAACUGGGGCUAAUACCGGAUAGGAGCUCCUGCUGCAUGGUGGGGGUUGGAAAGUUUCGGCGGUUGGGGAUGGACUCGCGGCUUAUCAGCUUGUUGGUGGGGUAGUGGCUUACCAAGGCUUUGACGGGUAGCCGGCCUGAGAGGGUGACCGGCCACAAUGGGACUGCGGUACGGCCCAGACUCCUACGGGAGGCAGCAGUGGGGAAUAUUGCACAAUGGGCGGACGCCUGAUGCAGCAACGCCGCGUGCGGGAUGACGGCCUUCGGGUUGUAAACCGCUUUCGCCUGUGACGAAGCGUGAGUGACGGUAAUGGGUAAAGAAGCACCGGCUAACUACGUG
rnacentral:rRNA from 1 species